rnacentral:rRNA from 1 species
GAUGAACGCUGGCGGCGUGCCUAAUACAUGCAAGUCGAGCGAACAGACGAGGAGCUUGCUCCUCUGACGUUAGCGGCGGACGGGUGAGUAACACGUGGAUAACCUACCUAUAAGACUGGGAUAACUUCGGGAAACCGGAGCUAAUACCGGAUAAUAUAUUGAACCGCAUGGUUCAAUAGUGAAAGACGGUUUUGCUGUCACUUAUAGAUGGAUCCGCGCCGCAUUAGCUAGUUGGUAAGGUAACGGCUUACCAAGGCAACGAUGCGUAGCCGACCUGAGAGCGUGAUCGGCCAGCCUCGAUCUGUGACACGGACCGGACUCCGACGGGCGGCAGCAGUAGGGAAUCGUACGAAAUGGUCGAAAGUGUGACGGAGCAAGGUCGCGUGAAUGAUGAAGUUCUUAGGAUCGUAAAACUCUGUUAUGAGGGAAUAACAAAAAUGCAAGGAACAACGCACUUCGAGACGGUACCGUAACAGAAAGACACGGCUAACUACGUG